GACGAACGCUGGCGGCGUGCUUAACACAUGCAAGUCGAACGAUGAAGCCGGAGCUUGCUCUGGUGAAUUAGUGGCGAACGGGUGAGUAACACGUGAGUAACCUGCCCUUGACUCUGGGAUAACUGCUAGAAAUGGUAGCUAAUACCGGAUACGACCCUCGGAGGCAUCUCCAGGGGGUGGAAAGAAUUUCGGUCAAGGAUGGACUCGCGGCCUAUCAGCUAGUUGGUGAGGUAACGGCUCAACAAGGCGACGACGGGUAGCCGGCCUGAGAGGGUGACCGGCGACACUGGGACUGAGACACGGCCCAGACGACGACGGGAGGCAGGAGUGGGGAAGAGUGCACAAUGGGGGCAAGCCUGAUGCAGCAACGCCGCGUGAGGGAUGACGGCCUUCGGGUUGUAAACCUCUUUUAGUAGGGAAGAAGCGAAAGUGACGGUACCUGCAGAAAAAGCACCGGCUAACUUCGUGCCAGCAGCCGCCGUAA
rnacentral:rRNA from 1 species